UUGUCAUUAAUUGGUAAAAUGAUAAUUAAAGGAUACAUUAGUCUUGUUCCAUUUGGAUGAGUAGUAAUAUACAUAUACCAAGUGUGACCAUAAGAAGUUAGUGGAUUAGUUAGAACCUAACCAAAUGGCAUAGUGGUAAAUCUCACUUAGUUGGAGGGCAAUUGAGACAAUUAACAUUAUGCAUGAGCCAUAAAGACUUGUUUGGAAUGAAGGAAUAUGUGUCCUUAUUGUAGAAUCAUUUCUUUUGGAUAAUAAAGAGAUUAGAGCCAAGAAGAAAAGAAGAACUCAUAACUCAAGUCCCAUUUUCGUAUUCCAUGGACAGCCUUCACUAAAAGUGCCAUAACUCUCUGCUCACAACUCCGAUUCAGGUGAUUCUCGAAGAUUUGGAUUCUACACGGAAUUAUCUUCGAUUUGGUAUAUUAUUUUGUUCUAAUAGCUUGUUUAUUUGUGGAGAAAAACGAGUUUGAAGUUGGAAGCUCCAUGCUGUAUGUGUGUCAAAGUGUGAUUUCGGGUUUGAUGAGGAUGGAGUGGAACUUUGACUAUGGUGGGAGUUCAAUGGCAGCAAAGAGCAUGAUCUUAACCUCCAUUAAAUCCAAGGUGCAGUUUAGUAGCUUUUGGCAGAUAGCAGGUUCGGAUUGACGGCUUAAGGUGGUGAUGGCUCGGAGACCUAGUCAAAUCUCAUUUUCCGCUGUGCAGAUCCAUUGAAGACACAUGUUUUGUAAUUCUUAUUGGAAUUUCAUGUUGUAUUGUAUUAUGGAUCUUUCUAUAUCUAAAGCUUUUGUAUGUACUCAGUAUCAAUUUAACGUUUCAUGCAUAAUAUACUAGUCAGUUAUGUAUGGGGUGUUACAGUUGGUAUCAGAGCCUGGUUGAUUCUCGGCCGAGCCAUGAGACAUCACUAGCAAAUCCUUUCCUCCUCACAUGUGUGCGUUGCUAGCCUGAUUUUACUAGUAUCUCAUUCAGCCGUUGAACUUGAUCAACUCAUCGACUGAGUGUGGGACGGUAGAAUUACGGCAGAGCCGCCACGAGGACUCGUAAACCUGUAAGUGUUGUGAACCCAUGUAGUUGGAGUGGGGUGAAUAAUGGAUUGUUUGGACGACGUAAGUGGAGAAUAUUGGAGUCGUCAAGUUUAAGGAGAGCGGUUGAUGUGAAGUAGUGAUACCCAAACUAUCAAGGUGUGGAUCGAGACAACUAGAACUCACAAGAUUUUGAUUGGACGGAGUGAAACUUUCUCUAAGUCUUGGUAAUAGCAAGGGAAAUCCAGUAAGGAUUGAGAUAGGGCCUUGUAAGUGAGAUUCUCCGAAGGUGUUGAGCUGGGAUUUAUUAGGAUUUAGUACUGAUGAUGCUGCCGGUGUUAGGUAUGACGGGUGAGCUGAUAGGACAGAAUGACCUUGGAAAUGCAGACAGAGGAGUCGGACCUUUCUGAUUAUGCUGGCAUGGACAAUAAUUGGAUGGACGAAGUAUUAGAUCCUGAUUUAACUCGAAGUACCCUAAGCGAGAGUAGUUACCUAGUAAAUGUUGGUGGAAGGUACGAGUGUGGUAACUUACGAUUGGGCGGGGUUUGAAUACCCGGUCGAUAGAAGAGGAUGUGUAUUUCUGUUCUUAUCAUUUUAUAUUUAAGUUCUAGAACUACGCUAGAUGGAAUAUGAAAUGAUGUAGAAGCGUGAAAUGCAGUGACCUAAGUUCUUGUUAGUUGUUGUUUGUCUGACCCCGAGUGAAGCCAUAGAACUACGCUUGGCGUUGGGCAUUCAGGCAAACAAGAACUAACACCCAUCUGGAACGUCAGCAGGAUGAUCGCAGUUGAGUUGGUUGCUCGGAACCAUAAUAUUCCUAUCUGGACUGAAUUAUCCUUGGAAUCUCAUGCAUGCGUGGGACGAGUGGGUACGCGCACUGCAUGGUAAUCCGAAGUUGAACUUCAAAUCUUCGUGCUUGGAAUUUUUGGCUUUCCGAGUAAGUAAACCUUGGUGUGUAGCACUCUCAGGUUUUAGCAUCCUGAAGAGUGUGAUUCGAAGGACUUGAGGAACGAUGAACCUAUUGGAGGCCUGUUCAGACACUUGUCGGUUGUGACUUUAGGAUACGCGUGGAGGUCGUUAUACGCCACGGAGGUAGAUUACCUGGAUACAUGGCCUCGGAGUUGGACCACCAUGUUGGUACUACCAGACUGGUAUAAUGCCACAGUAUCGCUAUCGUGCACAAGAUGCGUGAGUCAUCCUUUUUUCCGACAUGUGUGGGACAAAGGUGAUCUGAAGCUCAAGGUAGAAUUCUGAAUUGGCACUCGUGAGACACAGAUCUAGACUCUCAUAAGGUAUGUGGGAUGAGGAUCCAGACGUCACGCUCGAUAGUAGAUAAAUGACUAGACAGGCGAUGGUGAGAUGGAUCAAGACCCGAUACUAUGCUUAUAGAGACUCUGAAUGAUCAUGCUCGCGCGAGUUAGAGUCAGAUUAUACCUUGCAGACGUUCUCGUUUCUCGAAGUGUUAAGUUGGAAAUUUUGCAUGAGUGUCUAGGGUGGGACUCAUGUGCGGUCAUGAUAUCCUGGUCAGUAUGGUGAGUGGCUAUCAUGUACCAUAGGCGACCGGUGAUGGAAUAUGCAAGUUGUGUCUUGGACUAGUUCGAUGUGUGAUGUGUCUGGUAAGGUAUUGCUAGAUACUCUGAGUGGAGAAGUGUUAAUCUUUGUAAAGCAUGGACAUUUUGGUUUGAGAACUUCUGAGGAGUUUGUAAGAGAGAUGUUCGAAGUGCAAAGUGCAAUUUCUUGCAUUAUGGCUACGCUCUGACUGUUAGGAGCACCGAAAUGAAGGAUGCAGCCGCCGAGGAAGUCAGUUUAGGUCAGAGGUGGAACAGACAUUAGAUGACUGUGUGAAUAGAGUGUGGCUAUGGGAGGAUCGUUAUAUCAGUAAGUCACACGAGUUAUCAGAUGUGAUACUACGCUAAGAGAAUGAAGGUGUAUGGUUGGGUAGAAGUUGUGUAAAUUUGCUAGAGUUAUCAUGAGCUGCAGUACGUUGAGAAGGGUUCGAUAUACCGGUUGAGCAACAAGAUUGGUUGGACUGAAAAACAUAGCAGUUGUACGCUGUGGAAAUCAGUGACAAGGAAGAACCUCUAAGUCAAUGAGUAUUUGGGUUUCAAUGUCCUGAGAUCGAAACGUGUACCUAAGUUGUGGUAGAUGAACUAUAUGGACUGGCAGAGUAAGUAGAAGCUUGAUUCUGGAGAGCAUGCAACUUUGAAGAGUAGUAGUCGAUGAUGGAUGUAUAUGGAGUCCUGGCCCGUGUUGUAUUUGGACAACUGUAGAUAAGGAAUUAUUGUGUAUUAAUGGGAACUAAGUGAAUUAUGGAUAUAACGUGACUCAGAGGAUUUCAAGGUGUGUGUAAAUUAUUAGAAUCAGAGUAGCGCAACGGAUCGAGGAAGAAUCAGAUAACUUUGAGGUAGGAACGAACGAACUAUUUGUAGGAUUUUUAUGUUGGGAUGAAAGUAUCUUCCUAAGGGAAAUUGUCGAAGCAGUGUUUUGUUGAUUCCAGUCUCUUGAGGAUCCACCAUAAACUCGAGAGGUGUUGUCAAUGGACCAGCUUGGGAAUACAUUUUGUGGAUGGCAUGCGGUCCGAUGUUCGUAGGUCAUCAGUUUAGCUUGCAAGUCACAAGGGUUGGACUGAGUAACAGACCGUCGAAAUACUGAAGGUAAGUGAAGGAUUUCAAUUGGCACAAGUUCUUCGUGGUUAUGUCUUGUGCACUGUGAGCGUGCAUGAAGAGCUGGACAAUGGUCGCAGGUUAAUCGAUGAAGUCCACCUUUGUAGGCAAAACCUUAUGCGAAGUUGUUGGGCAUCAAUGCUAUGGUUGUGGAAGGCUACACCAUCGUGGAUUGCGGUAAUGAUUGAUACAUCUAGGACUGAGGUGAGAAUCGAGUAAAGAGGAAUAGUUGUAUAAGUAGAGGCAAGCUUGGGACAACCAUCCUACCACUUUGGGAACCGGAAGUUAAGACCAAGGAAUUUGGCUAACACCUAAUGACAUUUUAUGGACUUGAGUGGAGAAUAAUUUGAAGUGUUGUCGCAGAAGUGACGCUGUGGCAGUAAAUUCUCGAAGGGGAAGUAAUUCAAGGAGCUAAGUGAAUCAGUAAGUGUGUUGGACAAGGGUGAACACAGUAGAGUUUGAACAGCAGAUAUCCAACAGGAGUGGGUUGCUAGGGUUCUGAAAUUCGGGAGAUUCAGUGCAGAGCAGUGAAGGCCUAGGACCCUGGAAGGAUCUUUUCCCAGGUGUGUCAAGAAGAGGUAUCUGGAUAGACGUGUUGCUUGAGAGUCAAGGUUCUAACCAUGCAUAGUGGGACGCAGGUGUUUUUGCAGAUUAUGUUUCUUCGUAUGGAAUGACCCUCAGACAGAGUAGUGAGGUUAUCUAAAGAGAAAUGUAAGGAACAUUUCAUCCCAUGGUUGAUAUAGAUUUGGACACGUUGUUUCCGUGGUGACCGGAAAGAAUUCGAGGACGAAUUCAAUUUAGGGGGGGGAGAAUGUAAUACCCCGACUUUCCGACACCGAUAAUUGUCAUUAAUUGGUAAAAUGAUAAUUAAAGGAUACAUUAGUCUUGUUCCAUUUGGAUGAGUAGUAAUAUACAUAUACCAAGUGUGACCAUAAGAAGUUAGUGGAUUAGUUAGAACCUAACCAAAUGGCAUAGUGGUAAAUCUCACUUAGUUGGAGGGCAAUUGAGACAAUUAACAUUAUGCAUGAGCCAUAAAGACUUGUUUGGAAUGAAGGAAUAUGUGUCCUUAUUGUAGAAUCAUUUCUUUUGGAUAAUAAAGAGAUUAGAGCCAAGAAGAAAAGAAGAACUCAUAACUCAAGUCCCAUUUUCGUAUUCCAUGGACAGCCUUCACUAAAAGUGCCAUAACUCUCUGCUCACAACUCCGAUUCAGAAAAACGAGUUUGAAGUUGGAAGCUCCAUGCUGUAUGUGUGUCAAAGUGUGAUUUCGGGUUUGAUGAGGAUGGAGUGGAACUUUGACUAUGGUGGGAGUUCAAUGGCAGCAAAGAGCAUGAUCUUAACCUCCAUUAAAUCCAAGGUGCAGUUUAGUAGCUUUUGGCAGAUAGCAGGUUCGGAUUGACGGCUUAAGGUGGUGAUGGCUCGGAGACCUAGUCAAAUCUCAUUUUCCGCUGUGCAGAUCCAUUGAAGACACAUGUUUUGUAAUUCUUAUUGGAAUUUCAUGUUGUAUUGUAUUAUGGAUCUUUCUAUAUCUAAAGCUUUUGUAUGUACUCAGUAUCAAUUUAACGUUUCAUGCAUAAUAUACUAGUCAGUUAUGUAUGGGGUGUUACAGCUUACGUCGAGUCGGACCUUGCUCUGAUAUGUAACAGUCGGGAAGGGAUGAACGUUGGGUUGUUUCAUAGUUGAAUCUUAGUUAUUGUUAAAGUAUUUCAAAAGAAUGACUUUGAGUAAUGAUAAAUGAAGUUGCCAUGUUGGCUUAUA